rnacentral:rRNA from 1 species
UACGGGGGGGCAAGGCGUUGUUCGGAAUUACUGGGCGUAAAGGGCGCGUAGGCGGUCCGCUAAGUUGAAUGUGAAAACUCUGGGCUUAACCCAGAGCCUGCAUUCAAUACUGGCAGGCUAGAGUUCUGGAGGGGAUAGCGGAAUUCCUGGUGUAGCGGUGAAAUGCGCAGAUAUCAGGAAGAACACCCGUGGCUAAGGCGGCUCUCUAGUACGGUACUGACGCUGAGACGCGAAAGCGUGGGGAGCGAACAGG